CCGAGCCCUCCCCGGGGCGGCAGCGUGCGGCAGGGGCCCGGCCCGAGCCCUGCCCGGGGAGGAGGGCGUGCGGCCCCGGGGCUGGCAGCGCCCGUGUCGGGCAGCUGUGCCGCCCGGGGCCGCCACCUGUGCCUUUGUGUUGCCAGGGGCAGGCGGAGCGCUCAUGACGGGGCAGAAGGAGGAGCUCCAGGUCCUCGCUGAGGCUCUUCAAGCCAUCGGGGAAGAUCAGAGCCCAUCCUGCAGGAGCACACUGAUGCAGCUGGCCUUCAAAAGAAGAUCUGCAGGAUUCGUUCUUCUGCUGGAUCCGAAGAACUGACAUCCAUCAGCAAUUUCCAGCUCCCAUUGGAGAUGGGACCAGCUGCACAGCAGAAGGAACCAGCUGGAGCUCCAGUGCUCACAACUGAGCCUGUGGAAAGCUCCAGGAGCUCCUGCCAUCCCUCUCCCUGAUGGCAUCUCCCUCCCUGCAGCCCUCAGGCCCUGCCCAUCCCCCUUUUUACCUCCCAGUUCACCCCUUCCCUUCGCUUUCCCGUAAUAAAUAGUUUGGCUUUUCCGUGUUA